ACGGGAGGCAGCAGUGGGGAAUAUUGGACAAUGGGGGAAACCCUGAUCCAGCGACGCCGCGUGAGUGAAGAAGUAUUUCGGUAUGUAAAGCUCUAUCAGCAAGGAAGAAAAUGGCGGUACUUGACUAAGAAGCUCCGGCUAAAUACGUGCCAGCAGCCGCGGUAGUACGUAUGGAGCAAGCGUUAUCCGGAUUUACUGGGUGUAAAGGGAGCGUAGACGGCAAAGCAAGUCUGAAGUGAAAUCCCGGGGCUCAACCCCGGAACUGCUUUGGAAACUGUUUAGCUAGAGUGCAGGAGAGGUAAGCGGAAUUCCUAGUGUAGCGGUGAAAUGCGUAGAUAUUAGGAGGAACACCAGUGACGAAGGCGGCUUACUGGACUGUAACUGACGUUGAGGCUCGAAAGCGUGGGGAGCAAACAGGAUUAGAUACCCUGGUA
rnacentral:rRNA from 1 species